UCAAUUUCAGACGGUUCGCAAGCCCAUCGCCGACCUCUUGACCCGACGGGCCCGACCGCUUCCCACUCGAGCGCGCCCGCCCGUGAAAGGACAGAGAAAGUUCGAGGGCUUUCUCGAAUUCAAAGGGGGAAACCGGUGGCGAGGAUGGUGGUGCUCCGUCGGACCCGGGAACCGCUGCCGGCGGCGACGGAGGGGAGCGAAAUUCCGGAGCCCCAGUGGGCCUGGACGCCGGCCGGUCCGGGACGCCGUCGACUCUGGCCACUUAGAAUCUCACCCUCAACUCGUUGCUGCCUUCCUCGCCCAACCCUAACUCGGUUUACGUUCACGCUAUGCAUUUUCUGAUUCAAGUUUGUGAGAACUGCACUGUGAGCUGUUGGAAACUGCUUUGCUAUCAAAUAAAGAAGCCAGUGGAUCAGGAUUUGGAUGGUUCCUGACCUACAGGAGGGAUUGCAAGGAAGGGCUUAAUGGGUGGUCCAUACCCCAAGAUCUUCACUUUCAUUAGGUAUGCUAGCAUACAAGAUUGCUCGGUCACACUGUAUAUUAUGAUUCAUGUGGUCACAUGUGAUUCGAAAGGUAAAGCUGGUGUAGGCAUUCGACUGUACAGGGUAUGGUUGGUCCAGAAUUCGGCGAUACCACUAUAUCACGGGGUAGUCCUGGAAGACUAUAAAGAUUUUUACUUUGCUGUUCUCAAUGGGAGUUGUUCGCUGACUGCUGUUAUGUAUUGACAUUCAGGCCUGGUUUCCAUACAGGAAGACUUUGAUAUUGUUCCAUCCCCUGCCCCACCCUUCUAACAGGUCUUUCUUUUUGUUGUAAUGACUCAGUUCAGUAUAUUGAGAUACCCAUGCAAUAAAGUUCUUUCAUCCAUAUUUUUCAAAUACAGAAAGGUUGUUGUCA